GACGAACGCUGGCGGCGUGCUUAACACAUGCAAGUCGAACGAAAAGAGGGAAAGAGCUUGCUCUUUCCGGAAUUGAGUGGCAAACGGGUGAGUAACACGUACACAACCUGCCUUCAGGAUGGGGACAACAGACGGAAACGACUGCUAAUACCGAAUCAGUUCCAAGAGCCGCAUGGCCCAUGUAAGAAAAGGUGGCCUCUACCUGUAAGCUAUCGCCUGAAGAGGGGUUUGCGUCUGAUUAGCUGGUUGGAGGGGUAACGGCCCACCAAGGCGACGAUAAGUAGCCGGUCUGAGAGGAGGAACGGCAAACAUGGAACUGAGACACGGGCCAGACUCCUACGGGAGGCAGCAGUGGGGAAUCUUCCGCAAUGGGCGAAAGCCUGACGGAGCAACGCCGCGUGAGUGAUGACGGCCUUCGGGUUGUAAAACUCUGUGAUCCGGGACGAAAAGGCAGAGUGCGAAGAACAAACUGCAUUGACGGUACCGGAAAAGCAAGCCACGGCUAACUACGUG
rnacentral:rRNA from 1 species